GUGGCAGCAUGGGCCCUCCAUUUGGAGUGGUUCCAAUUUUAACAAGAACGACGGUGUUGCUAUUUUAAUCAAGACCCCACAGGUGGUGGUGAAGGGGAGCACGGUGGUGGUAGGAUCGGGAACCAGUAUGUCCAGUGCGCGGGCUCGCUAUAGGUGAGCCCACAACGGUUUGGCGCAACGUGGCCCAUCCUGCUCUCCUGAAUCGGCAUCGGGACCUGUCCUGGAUGGUCGCCCACGAGAUCCUCCCGGUCAGGGCCGUUAUGCACUCACGGGGCAUGGCGAGGAUAUCCGCGUGCCCCCGACCAGCCGCCAGGGACCUGUGGAAGGAAGCAGGCCCCCUGAUCACCUCGUGUCUGCCAGCAGGGGAGGACCUAACAUCUCAGCUCGUGCUGUAUGGGGUGGGCCGAAGGCCCAUUCCAUCAAAGACCUUCACCAAGCUCUGGUCCACCCUCACGUGCCUGAAGGAAGCACUGUGGUCCUCCCGUAACCUGCUGGUAGCGAAAAACGUAGAGCCAACCCCCAGGCAGUGGCCAUGGUAGCCACGGAAGCCCUGGGGUGGUACGGAAGAAAGGGGGCCUCAACCCCAAGCGAAGGGUCCCCCACAACACCCUAGGUCCCGGCGGCCACGGCCUGACAGCGCUGCGGCGCCUAGGGCGAUGCGCCUAGGGGAGGGAUCCCCUCUGGGCCCCGAAGGACGGGAUGAUGAUCCAUUCAGAAGAGCAGGAUGAGGUGAGCUUGAUAAAGACUCACCCCGCUCCUGUACAAGGGACUGAAGACAGCCUUUUAACAAAGUGGCUUUU